rnacentral:lncRNA from 1 species
GUAGGCAUUUUGAAACCGUUCAGAGAUUACUUCAAGUAAUGGCACUCUUUGGGAUCUUUGCCAGGGAACAUUUAAAUACAUUAUCAAUGGCAAAUAGUGUUUUCUAUGCUUGAUUUCACUUAAUAUUUUUGGGUGUUGCGCUCAUUGCAGUCAGAAAACAUGUUGGCCGAUCAAAACCCUUGCCGGUGAUGUUGCUUUCUCUCCCCAAGUCGUAUGAGAAAAUAACGGAAAACUGACCCAAGAUCAGUACUGUACAUAUGCAACUUCAACCCAAUGUAAUGCGGAGCGCGUUCCAGCUCGUCAACACAAUCGGCUGCAGGGGAGAUUCUGUGUAAUUUGACCUACAACACAAAUGCGCAUUAUGACUUCAACAAAGAAGGCAGCUUGGAACGUACCCGAUCCUCCCAUGCGAUCAUUCUCUUUCCCGCUCCAAAUAAAGACCCUUCACACCUACCACCCUUCUCUUCAGACCACUCAGACCCACACCUACCACCCUUCUCUUCAGACCACUCAGACCCACACCUACCACCCUUCUCUUCAGACCCACACCUACCACCCUUCUCUUCAGACCCACACAUACCACCCUUCUCUUCAGACCACUCAGACCUACACCUACCACCCUUCUCUUCAGACCACUCAGACCCACACCUACCACCCUUCUAUUCAGACCAUUCAGACCCACACCUACCACCCUUCCAUUCAGACCCACACCUACCACCCUUCUCUUCAGACCACUCAGACCCACACCUACCACCCUUCUCUUCAGACCACUCAGACCCACACCCACCACCCUUCUCUUCAGACCACUCAGACCCACGGCUGACACCUUUAGUCUCUCUCUCUCUUUCUUUCUAUCCAUCCUCUUGAUACAGAUCUCUUGAUCCAUCCUCUGGCUGCAUUUUAAAAUGGCUCCUGGCUCCAGCCGUAAGCUGUGUCCUAGUUGUAACACAUCAAUAAGAGGAGCAUCAAAGAAGAGCCAGUUCUGUGGUGCAACAAUCCAGCUAAAGGUCAAGUUAGAGGCCCAAAAAAGGAAGGCUACAGAUGAAUGGGCAAAUAAGACAAUGAAACAUGGAAGAUAUGCAACCUUGGUUAAUGCAGCAAACAAGCUGGUACAUAGGUUCCACAAGGUAGGAGGGAACCCCCUGCUACUCCUCAGCAAGAGGAAAAAGGAUAACAUUUUGUCGUCGACUGCACUGUGUCCUCACAGUGGUAUGAUGAGUCAGACCUCAAUGGCAGCAAUCCAAAGGUUGUAUGAGGCAAUUGUGAAAGUGGCAAUCAACACCCAUACCCCCACACUAUAACCUUCCAACCCUCCUCCUGUUGCUGCCCAAGAACUGUCUGAUACAGUUGCCCCCCAGGAGACCAGCUACACCCCCAUCCUCAACCAGGUUGAACCCCCGAUAUCCCCCACCACCCAGGAGACCAGCUACACCCACACCAAACCAAAGAAGACAGAGAGAAAGUCCUGUCGCCCUCAAAAAACCCUCCAACUCGCUGAGCAUGACAGUUCACCCCAUCCAAUCCCAUUCAACCCCAUCCAACCCCAUCCAACCGUAUCCUACCCCAUUCUACCCCAUCCAACCGUUUCCAACCCCAUCAAACCCCAUUCUACCCCAUCCAAGCCCGACCAAGGAAGAGGAAAUAUGACUACAUGCAAAAAGAGUGUCCAGUGCAUCCGGGGCAAAUGAUUUUCCCUAUUCUCAAGAUUUUUGCCAAUAGAACUUCAAAGGGGUGGCAAGAAAUGGGACGAUGACUGGAUCAAGGCCGAGGACCGCGUUUCUCCAGUUUAACCUACUUUAUGCACGAAUGUAUUCCUCACUCUCCCUUCACAUGUAUCACUGUCAAUCAUAAAUGGUUGGCCAAAUUCACCAUGAUUUACCAUUGAAACAUUCAUGGAGCGUCAGCAUGCCAACCAUUUCAUCUCAAUCAGUUUCAUGAGAAUAUGCAUUUAGAUAUUCUUCAUAUAAAGUGAGCUACAAACAUAUUGCAACAGUGACACAUUUUUUGUUGUUUUGGAUCUGUACUCCAGAACGUUGUAUUUUAAAUUAUACAAUGACUAUGAGGUUAAAGUGCAGACUAUCAGCUUUAAUUUGAGUGUAUUUUCAUCCAUAUCUGGUGAACCGUUUAGAAAUUACAGCACAUUGUGUACAUAUCCACCCCGUUUUGGGGGACCAAAAGUCUUGUGAUAAAUUCACUUAUGUGUAUUACAGUAG